rnacentral:rRNA from 1 species
ACGGAAGGCAGCAGUGGGGAAUAUUGCACAAUGGGGGAAACCCUGAUGCAGCGACGCCGCGUGAGUGAUGAAGUAUUUCGGUAUGUAAAGCUCUAUCAGCAGGGAAGAUAAUGACGGUACCUGACUAAGAAGCACCGGCUAAAUACAUGCCAGCAGCCGCGGUAGUACGUAUGGUGCAAGCGUUAUCCGGAUUUACUGGGUGUAAAGGGUGCGUAGGUGGCAUGGCAAGUCAGAAGUGAAAUGCGGGGGCUCAACCCCUGAACUGCUUUUGAAACUGUCAAGCUAGAGUAUAGGAGAGGAAAGCGGAAUUCCUAGUGUAGCGGUGAAAUGCGUAGAUAUUAGGAGGAACACCAGUGGCGAAGGCGGCUUUCUGGACUAAAACUGACACUGAGGCACGAAAGCGUGGGGAGCAAACAGGAUUAGAUACCCUGGUA